GGAUGAAGAACGCAGCGAAAUGCGAUACGUAAUGUGAAUUGCAGAAUUCAGUGAAUCAUCGAAUCUUUGAACGCAUCUUGCGCUCCUUGGUAUUCCGAGGAGCAUGCCUGUUUGAGUGUCAUUAAAUUCUCAACUACACUGACUUUGAUUAUCAGUGUGGUUUGGAUUUGGGGGUGAUCAUUGCAGGCUUGUUGUCUGCUCCCCUGAAAUUAAUUAGUGGUGUCCUGUCUACAGGUGUGAUAACUAUCUACAUCUGAAAGACUUCUGGGUUAAUGCUGCUUUACUUGUAAAUGACAAUCUUGACCUCAAAUCAGGUAGGACUACCCGCUGAACUUAAGCAUAUCAAUAAGCGGAGGA
rnacentral:misc_RNA from 1 species